ensembl:lncRNA
CACUGAAAAAUGCAAAUAAACAGUUAGCCUGCCAGUCAACGUAACGCUUCUUAUCUUGAUUCUGGGCUUUAAUGAGACUAAAUAGCCUACAGCAUUACGAGUUGGGCCUUCUUCUGAAGGAGAAAGUGACAGCUGAAUACGCCCUGACACCAAAUGAAGAAAUAAUGAAACUUUAAUAAGCUAAAGAAAUCUGUUUAGCAAGUCACUAACCAUUGUGCUGUUGACCACAAACAAUUACAAGUAAACAAAUUAUACAUUUUAGUGAUGAACCACAAUGCAUAUGCUGCAUGUGAGAGUGUAACAUACAGCCACAUACACUUAAGACACUACGCUCAUAGCACAGCAAACAUCUGCCAAAGUGUUAAAAACUGUGGUUGCGCUAAUUCCUGGUACAGUAGCUAGUACUACCACAUUUUGCCAUGACAAAAAAACAAAGAAAAACAAACACACACACAGACUAAAAAGAUUAAAUAAAUGGUAGCUUCACCGACUUGAUGCAUGCUCAAUCGUCCAGUUAAGGAAAUCCCAAAAAGUUGAUUCUGUUCAUCUGGAUGUGAUGUUUUUAAUCAGACAAACGUUUCCCAACUCUUCCAAGUGACUUCUUCUGUGUCAGCUGACUGCGGGUUUCCAAUCUUAUAGAAAGUACAUUUGCAUAAUGACUGAAACUAGCACAACUGGCGUAGCUUCAUUGCUUAGCCUGUGUCAAGACUCAGCGACUUAAGGGCAAUGCAUGUGAUUAAUCAUCUUCAUUUUCUUCACUUCUAACAUCUUCAUAUUGACAUUUUUUAACCAGUAGUUUCAGCCUAAGAUAUUUAAAUGUAAGCUAUGGAAAGCCAUAAUUGCAAAUCUGACCAAAAAAAAAAAAAAAAGAAAGAAAGCAAAGGCUAAAACCAAAUCUAUCCUCUUAGUACAAAAGGACAAGACACUGUGUCCUGCCAAGAACUAUGAUAGUGUAUAGCAUUUAUACACAAUUAAAACUGAAGUGAUUUUUUUCUAGACCUACUGAAUUUCUCUUACAAGGAGAUUGCAUCAUGUAAAUGGCUUAUUUUAUGGACAAGAUCAUGAUGGACCAUCUUUACUCAAACAACAAACAAAACACUCAUUUAUUAUUCCAUACACUGAAAAUAUGAAAAUACACCAUAUAUGUUACGUGAUUAGGCAGUUUGAAAUGUCCUCACAGGAGUUCACAAUGGCAGUCAGGUGGAGAGGUGGUUUAUAAAACACCUGAGACUGGAGUUUAAGGUUUGUAGAGAACUGUUAAAUGCAUCUCAGAAAGCUCAGAUUUGAGAUUUUACUUGGAAUUAUUUUUUUUGUUAUUUUACUUUUUCUUGACUGCUACCUGUUAAUUGUUAAAUAUGAAUAUAAGUCAUAUUCAGCCAAAUAAAGUGUCACAAUCUGUUAGGCAGAGGCGAGUAGCUAGGCUAUGCUGACGCUAGGUAGUACGAUGAUCCAGCAAGGAAGCAACAUGUCCUGCAAUCUUAGGCUGUGUCCCAAAUCAGGGUCUGCACGCUUGAAGUACGUGCAAUACGUGUACUAUGUACGGUGCGUACUAUAAGUACGAGAAGUGAGGAAGUGAGAGGCUUGUGAAAUGGGACGGUCUGGCCUUCGUCGCGCUGUUCAGGUUGCCUAGCAACCAUGAUACUAACCGCGAGAAACGUUACAUACAGCUUUGUUUGACAGAAAUGAUUUGUUGGUCAUUCAUUUUUGUCAUGACAUCACUUUGAUUAGUUGAGUAUCUGAGGCUGAGACCACGGGACUGUAAAACAUGAUUGUUGGGCUGAGAUUAUAAUGACAUAUAUAUAAAAAAAAAAAAAAAAAAAAAAAAAAAAAACACCCAGCAUGCCCCUGCGGGCGGUUUAUCCUUCAAGCUCGGGUCCUCUACCAGAGGCCUGGGAGCUUGAGGGUCCUGCGCAGUAUCUUAGCUGUUCCCAGGACUGCGCUCUUCUGGACAGAGAUCUCCGAUGUUGUUCCCGGGAUCUGCUGGAGCCACUCGCCUAGCUUGGGAGUCACCGCACCUAGUGCUCCGAUUACCACGGGGACCACCGUUACCUUCACCCUCCACAUCCUCUCGAGCCCUUCUCUGAGCCCUUGGUAUUUCUCCAGCUUCUCGUGUUCCUUCUUCCUGAUAUUGCUGUCAUUCGGAACCGCUACAUCGAUCACUACGGCCGUCUUCUUCUGUUUGUCUACCACCACUAUGUCCGGUUGGUUAGCCACCACCAUUUUGUCCGUCUGUAUCUGGAAGUCCCACAGGAUCUUAGCUCGGUCAUUCUCCACCACCCUUGGGGGAAUCUCCCAUUUUGACCUCGGGACUUCCAGGUUAUACUCGGCACAGAUGUUCCUGUACACUAUGCCGGCCACUUGGUUAUGGCGUUCCAUGUAUGCCUUGCCUGCUAGCAUCUUGCACCCUGCUGUUAUGUGCUGG